AUGAACGCUGGCGGCGUGCCUAAUACAUGCAAGUCGAGCGAACGGACGAGAAGCUUGCUUCUCUGAUGUUAGCGGCGGACGGGUGAGUAACACGUGGCUAACCUACCUAUAAGACUGGGAUAACUUCGGGAAACCGUAGCUAAUACCGGAUGAUAUUUUUAACCGCAUGGUUCCAAAGUGAAAGACGGUCUUGCUGUCACUUAUAUAUAGAUCCGCGCUGCAUUAGCUAGUUGGUAAGGUAACGGCUUACCAAGGCAACGAUGCAUAGCCGACCUGAGAGGGUGAUCGGCCACACUGGAACUGAGACACGGUCCAGACUCCUACGGGAGGCAGCAGUAGGGAAUCUUCCGCAAUGGGCGAAAGCCUGACGGAGCAACGCCGCGUGAGUGAUGAAGGUCUUCGGUUCGUAAAACUCUGUUAUUAGGGAAGAACAUAUGUGUAAGUAACUGUGCACAUCUUGACGGUACCUAAUCAGAAAGCCACGGCUAACUACGUG
rnacentral:rRNA from 1 species